UUAAGUUCAGCGGGUAUCCCUACCUGAUCCGAGGUCAACCACGAGAGUUGGGGUUCUGGCAGGCUACCACCGGGCACUGGAGCGAGAGACGUACUACGCUCAGGGCCAGGCGGCACCGCCACUGUCUUUAGGGCCGGCCGCAGCGGGCAGGGCCCAACACCAAGCAGAGCUUGAGGGUUGAAAUGACGCUCGAACAGGCA
rnacentral:misc_RNA from 1 species